rnacentral:rRNA from 1 species
ACCCGCUGAACUUAAGCAUAUCAAUAAGCGGAGGAAAAGAAACCAACAGGGAUUGCCCUAGUAACGGCGAGUGAAGCGGCAACAGCUCAAAUUUGAAAUCUGGCUCUUUUAGAGUCCGAGUUGUAAUUUGCAGAGGGCGCUUUGGCUUUGGCAGCGGUCCAAGUUCCUUGGAACAGGACGUCACAGAGGGUGAGAAUCCCGUACGUGGUCGCUGGCUAUUGCCGUGUAAAGCCCCUUCGACGAGUCGAGUUGUUUGGGAAUGCAGCUCUAAAUGGGAGGUACAUUUCUUCUAAAGCUAAAUAUUGGCCAGAGACCGACAGCGCACAAGUAGAGUGAUCGAAAGAUGAAAAGCACUUUGGAAAGAGAGUCAAACAGCACGUGAAAUUGUUGAAAGGGAAGCGCUUGCAGCCAGACUUGCUUACAGUUGCUCAUCCGGGCUUUUGCCCGGUGCACUCUUCUGUAGGCAGGCCAGCAUCAGUUUGGGCGGUAGGAUAAAGGUCUCUGUCACGUACCUCUCUUCGGGGAGGCCUUAUAGGGGAGACGACAUACUACCAGCCUGGACUGAGGUCCGCGCAUCUGCUAGGAUGCUGGCGUAAUGGCUGU